UGGUGAUCCCGGCAGAUGGGCGCCCUCUCCCGUCUCUCAGAGACCACUCAGUCCAGUCAAGUCUGCAAAUCGGUUAACUUGGGGGCUCUGGCGGUCGAAGUGGCGUUAACUCGCGUUGGUGCGAGAGGUCGCGACGCUUUUCAUUAUACGCUUCUGUGUUUCUGGGCUGAGGGCUCAGAGCCAGAGUGCUGGCUUGUGUCCUUCCUAGCCGUCCCGCCUGCCCCGAGUGUUGCGGAGAGUUUCUGAGAGAGAGCCCCUGAGGAGGGGAGCGGGCGCUUUCGCGGGCUCACACGGAGGGGCUGGGUAGGGAGAGGAGCCGCGCGGGCCGGGGCGGCGGAGAGGCCGGACCGAAGUCGUCAGUGGACACCGCCACCCCUCGGUCGGACCUCGAAGUGGACCUGCGCGCUCACCUGAAUUUCAUUGAAAUCUCUUGCUGGCCAAUGAUCAACUCUUUCCAAGCUGAGUGUUCUUUACUGUUAUACAGGACUAUCAUGAAGAUGCAUUGAAAGUUACACAGCACUGGAGGAGUGUGAUAUCCCUUUCAGUUGCUCUUGCUUCUCAGGAUUGAGAUAUGGAAAGAUCCUUCUGUCCUUUACCACACAGUUCCUUUGUCAAGAAUUCCAGGAUGUCCUCCAAGUUUGCAAGAGACAGGGAUCAAGACCAUACCCAAGAAAAAGAUACGCAAAAAAGCAAAAUGGCUGUCUGAGGAGGCCUUACAAAUAGCUGUGAAGAGAAGAGAACGAAAAAGCAAAGGUGAAAAGGAAAGAUAUACCCAUUUCAAUGCAGAGUUCCAAAGAAUAGCAAGGAGAGAUAAAAAAGCCUUCCGCAGCAAUCAAUGCAAAGAAAUAGAGGAAAACAGUAGAAUGAAAGAGACGAGAGAUCUCUUCAAGAAAACUAGAGAUACCAAGGGAACAUUUCAUGGAAAGAUGGACUCGAUAAAGGACAGAAAUGGUAUGAUCUAACAGAAGCAGAAGAUAUUAAGAAGAGGUGGCAAGAAUACACAGAAGAACUGUACAAAAAAGAUCUUCAUGACCCAGAUAAUCAGGAUGGUGUGAUCCCUCACCUAGAGCCAGACAUCCUGGAAUGUGAAGUCAAGUGGGCCUUAGGAAGCAUCACUACCAACAAAGCUGGUGGAAGUGAUGGAAUUCCAGUGGAGCUAUUUCAAAUCCUGAAGGAUGAUGCUGUGAAAGUGCUUCACUCAAUAUGCCAGCAAAUUUGGAAAACUCAGCAGUGGCCACAGGACUGGAAAAGGUCAGUUUUCAUUCCAAUCCCAAAGACAGGCAAUGCCAAAGAAUGCUCAAGCUACGGCACAAUUGCACUCAUCUCACACACUGG
ensembl:lncRNA